UCCUGGUGGCUCAGAUGGUAAAGCAUCUGCCUACAAUGCAGGAGACUCGGGUUCAAUCCCUGGGUCAGGAA
rnacentral:tRNA from 1 species